rnacentral:rRNA from 1 species
AUUGAACGCUGGCGGCAGGCCUAACACAUGCAAGUCGAGCGAGCGGCGGACGGGUGAGUAAUGUAUGGGGACUGCCCGCUAGAGGGGGAUAACUACUGGAAACGGUAGCUAAUACCGCAUACUAUCGGAUAACCCAUAUGGGAUUAGCUAGUAGGUGAGGUAAUGGCUCACCUAGGCGACGAUCCCCAGCUGGUCUGAGAGGAGGAUCAGCCACACUGGGACUGAGACACGGCCCAGACGCCUACGGAGGCAGCAGUGGGGAAUAUUGCACAAUGGGCGCAAGCCUGAUGCAGCCAUGCCGCGUGUGUGAAGAAGGCCCUAGGGUUGUAAAGUACUUUAAGUCGGGAGGCGUUACCGACAGAAGAAGCACCGGCUAACUCCGUGCCAGCAGCCGCGGUAAUUC